rnacentral:lncRNA from 1 species
UUUUUUUUUUGUGUAACAUGUUCGCCUACACACGGUCCUCCCACCAUCAUGUGAUCACGACCGUAGCAUUCCCGCACCGCCCUGCUCCCUCACGACCGAGUAAAUUGCACAGGAGUACCAUAAUUGGGGCAUUGGAAACAGAUUGAUACCAAGAUUGAUAAUAUUUACGUGUCAGUACCAAGUUUGAGGCGAGCCGUUGCAAAAAAGACUAAAAGUGUGUUUUAUACGUAUUGAUAGGGAAUCUGACCAGUUGGGCCCGCCCGUCAGGCGCCACGCUGGCCAGUGAGCGCGUGCCCGCGCGCUGACUCGGACGAGGCCAAGUCCAACCGUUUAGGGCGCGGCUGGUGCGGUCGAGCCACACUGUCGGUGUCAAAACCGGCAGAUCUCGGGUAAGGGGUCCCGAACUGUGUGUCUAAGGCGGAUGGUAACAGGAGGCAGGGGACACGAUGUUUUACCCAGGUUCGGACCCUCUUGAUGGAGGUAAAACCCUACGUCCUGCUUGAUUAUUCUUGAUAAUAUGAGUAGUACAAGAGUUGAUCUAUCACGAGAUCAGAGAGACUAAACCCUAGAAGCUAGCCUAUGGUAUGAUUAUAUGUUGUCCUACAGACUGAAACCCUCCGGUUUAUAUAGACAUCGGAGGAGGCUAGGGUUACACAAGGUCGGUUACAAAGGAGGAGAUAUCCAUAUCCGUAUUGCCUAGCUUGCCUUCCACGCCAAGUAGAGUCCCAUCCGGACACGGGACGAAGUCUUCAAUCUCAUAUCUUCAUAGUCCAACAGUCCGGCUAAAGGAUAUAGUCCGGCUGUCCGGAGACCCCCUAACCCAGGACUCCCUCCGUAGCCCCUGAACCAGACUUCAAUGACGAUGAGUCCGGCACGCAAUGUUGUCUUCGGCAUUGCAAGGCGGGUUCCUUCUCCGAAUACACCACAGAAGAGUUUGAAUACAAAGAUACUGUCCGACCCUGCAAAAUAAGUUCCACAUGCCACCGUAGAGAGAAUAAUAUUUCCACAAAUCUAAUUUGCUGACACGUUUUGGUGGCAUGACAUCACGCCACGGUCCAGUAAUUAUUUGAACCGUUUUUCUUUAACCAGCCCCGCACAUAACGCGGGGCGGUUUCUUGACACGUCUUGUCAAAGCAGAGAAUGUGUUCCCCUUAUCACGGGAUUUUCAUCAAUACGGACGUGGGUAACCCAACCGCGCCAUCAAUUACGGCGCCUGGGGGGACAAGCGAGUUUGACGCUUGUGUGGACGCAUAGUUUUGUCCGCCCUUAUAAAGGGAUAAGGUUUCACCUUUUUCUACCCACGCCUUCUUCCUCCUUGCUCAUCCAUUCUCGCGCACUCGAGCUCCAGCGCCCAAGUCCACAUCCUUCUCCUCAACUCUCUCCAAACAUGUCUGGAGCAGGAGGCAAGUGGAUGGACUCCUCCGUCACGGAGGGACACAUCAAAAAGCUACGUGGAGCCGGAUAUUUAGCCGCGGAUAUCGCGCACCGGCUGCCAGCCGCGGGGCAGAUCGUCCCUACCCCGGAACCUCACGAAAGGGUGGUAUUCCUCCCCCACUUCGUCCGCGGACUGGGGUUUCCCCUCCAUCCAUUCGUCUGCGGCCUCAUGUUCUAUUAUGGGCUGGACUUUCAUGAUCUGGCCCCGAAUUUCAUCCUCAACAUCUCGGCGUUCAUCGUCGUGUGCGAGGCUUUCCUCUGCAUCCGGCCCCACUUCGUCCUGUGGCUGAAGACCUUCAAUAUCAAGCCGAAAAUAGUACGCGGCCAACAAGCGGAAUGCGGCGGAGCCAUGGUGGGCAAAAUGCCCAACGUUACAUGGCUCGAGGGAUCCUUCGUGGAGACCAUAAAGGGGUGGCAAUCGGGGUGGUUCUACAUCACCGAGCCGCGUGACACCAACUGGGUGGCGGCCCCCAAGUUUCGAUCCGGAAUCCCCACGCGGCUCACUUCCUGGAAGGAGAAGGGCCUGUCCUGGGGUUCAUCGGUGGAGCUGGACGGACUCCAGAAGUGUAUCCGGAACAUGAUAAGCAAGAAACUUAAACUUGUCAACAUAGUCCAGGUCAUGCUCUUCCGUCGGAUCCUCCCGUGUCAACAACGGGAUUUCAACUCAUGGGAGUUCGACCCGGCCCAGCACCAGACUCUACGCGAGCUCUUCGACACGUCGCUAAGGAAGUCUGGAAGGUGUUGUUCAAUGGCGCCGAGGUCCCUCCUUCUCUUACCGAGGACCGCGGGCUAAGCGUGAAGCGCCCUGCGGAUCCGGUAAGUUUUGUACAUCCGGUAGGGUAUUUAUUUCCCAUAUCUUAACCAUGUGCGGGGUCUGAGCUCCCAUGCCUUUGACAGGACUGGGUGGAGACAUCGGAGCAGAUUAACUGUUCGGCCCCUCUGCCCGAAGACCCUGCGGACGCUCUCUUGACGAAGAUGCGGACUCCGGCUCCUUACGAGGUGCCGGAGAAGACCAAGAAGAAGGCCAUGGGAACCCGAAAGAGUUUUCGGCGCCAGGUGGUAUCAGACUCAUCGUCUGAUAACUCCGAGGCGCACUCCUCCCGUGAAAACGAGGAGGAAGAUGAAGAUUCUCCCCCUCCAGCCGGGGGAGACAAGAAAAGGAAGGCCGCCCCAACCGGGGAGGCCAAAGGGUCCAAGAAGGGAAGGACUCUCCUUCCGGAAUAUUCCACCACCACCGCUGAAGGCGAAGACGAGUGGCUGCUCAGGGCCAAGCCCGUAUACCAGAGUAACUCAUAGCAUACUUUUGUUGCACUGCUUCUCCUAACAUCGAAUAUGAUUAUGCAGUCCGCCCCAAGCCCGUAUCGAUGUAUCAUCGUCGGACGGUUCUUUCGACUCGUCGGACAUGAAUAGUGAUACACUUCCAACCGCCUCCUCCCCUUGCCCUACGUACAAUGCCAAGGUAUUGUCUCAAGGGCACCGAGCCGGGGGGAGGCAGUCCCGGAGGCACCUCAAGGCGACCUUCCAGACUCCAGGAGCAAAGGGAGCAAGGCUCCUAGGGGCUCCAAGUUUGGCCCUCAGCCGUACACCGCGCCGGAACCUUUAGGGGUUCCUGACUCGAGUAGGCGGCCCUCUUCCAAGAGGGGCAAGCCGUCCAUGCCGGUGACCCCUGUCCAUCAAGAGGCACCGGACGAAUUGUUGGGAGCACUUCGCGGCGCUUCCAUCGACGAAGAGCACCGCACUAUUAUGAGUGCGGUGAUCAAGAAGGUUCAGUCCCCCAAGAGCGGACUGACUGAAAUUUGUGCCAUCCUUCUAACAGGCUUUGAGCUAAGUAUUUAAAAUAUAGGAAAAAUAUUACCGCAUAGACAGUAGCCCCUGAUGCUCUGUUUGGUGUUCACAAAGAAAAGCCGAAUAGAGGAUCAAAUAAUAUCUGCAGGAGUCUAAUAUAAGUAUGUCUGUAUGCGUAUGCGGGCUUUGUUGCUGACCUCUGUCGCACUGACUGCGGAGGUCGCCGCAUUGAAGCAGGACCUCAAGAGGUCCGAGAAAGAGCUCAGCCUUACCAAGAGGCAGCUCGAGGAGAAUAAAGGUAAGUAAUACCUUGUCUAUAUAAAAAAGAAAAUGUGGUUGCGAAAUGACAGGAUCAUCAUGGAUUUGCCAGGGGCCACGACCGAAGUGGCGACCCUGAAGCAAGCAUUGUCUAAGGCCGAAAACAAAGCGGCCAAGGAGCGCACCGAGCGGGAAAAACAAGAGGCACGGGUGGGCGAGAUGCAGCAGGAGCUCCAGGCUCUCGUGAAGAAGCACGAGGCUUUGGAGCUUGACUCGAAGACGCGAGAGUCCGAGGUUCCGCGGCCCUCGAGAGCACAAAGCAUGCCAAGGCUGAAGCCCAAAAGGUCCUCCAGGACAUUGAGGCGAUGAGGAAGAUAGCGGCGGGUAAGGCAUUCAAUAUGCAAAGCAAGCAUGUGAAAGUAAAUUACUUGUUACUUACCCGAGUCUGGAGCUCUCUAGGAGCAUUCGUAGAUUUGCCCCGCAGUGUGUCGGAUGCCGCGAAAUAUUACCAGGCCGAGGAGGGAAGCUCGAUAGAGAAGUUGUUCUGGUCUCAGUAUACUGGGACCGAACACCCGAUGCCUGUGAGCGACCAGCUGAAGCAAUUGGUCGAGCUGCACAAGGUGGUUGAGCAGGCCAUGAGGGGCCUUAUAGUCCGGAUGUGGCCUGGCGACUCCCUUCCCAACAGCUACUUCGGCCUGGUGAGGCGGCUUGUGGAUGCCUGCCCACGGCUGGAUGUCAUAAAGCGGUCCGUCUGCAUCGAAGGUGCACGCCGGGCUUUUGCCCGUGCGAAGGUGCACUGGGCCAAGAUGGACGCCGAGAAGCUGGUGAAGGAGGGGCCGCUGCAAGGCAAGGAGCAUCGCCACCCCGAAAUGUAUUAUGAGGCUGUCCUGAAGGGCGCUCGUCUUGUGGCGGACGAGUGUGCGAAGGAUUUAAUGUUUGAAUGAACUUGCUCGUGUGAUCAUGUACUAUGAAAACUUGUUCAUAUGCGCUAUGCAACACUUGUUUGAAUUUAAAGUAUUACCUUCUGUGCGGCCGUUUAUUAAAUCUGAGAGAUGGCCAGUCGUCGGCUUCUGCCCCCAUGCCACGAGUGCUGGGGUGUUCGGGAUAAAUCUGAGCACUCUUUUUCCCAUUGUUGGGUCCUUCGAGGGAGGUGCUCAGCACAACGAACAAGGCAAUCGGACUAUAAUGCUUUAUCACUCUCACUUAGCCAUAGAAGUCUAUAAUUUUAAAUUUUGGCAAAGCCCCUAGUAUUCGGAAGUCCGAAUUCGGGACGCUGUACACGCCUUAAGCCGGACAAAGCCGACUCCUCGCUCUAAGUGGCAUAAGUCUUUAGGGACUCGAGACCUCUCGAACAGCGACCACCUCUCGCCUUAUCAUGACAGUCAGUUUUAGCUUUCUCUACUGAGGUGCUUAGCCCAGAUGAACCGGGGCACAAUCGCAGUAGUUCUCCCAGUGCUACCUUAGCCGAUAUAGCGGAACGUAAGGUACCAAAACAUGGGAGCCGGGCAAACCCAACUAUUGACCCAAGACAUGAUUCGGAGUUGAUGCAUAUAAUGCUAUAAGUUCGGGGUGCCGCACUGUCGAAAGUGUUCGGACUUCUCACGCCGUAUUAUGGGGUACGCUUAAGCCCCUAGCGUAUUGGCCAUACCAGAGUGUACGGGUGCUGAAUGUCAUGAAUGAGCAUAUAUAUAUAUAUAAAGAAUAGAGAAUGCGGUAAUAGUCUAGUGGUAUGCAUUGUUUAUUCAAAAAGGUGCGUCGAAGCAGAAUGAUACAAGUAGUGCGAUAAGCAAAAAGUAGGACUAUUUGACAUGUCCCCUCCAAGGGCCAGCUGAGGAAUGGUAUUUAAAGCAGGUAUUUCGCUCGUUAUCAGAGACCACCUGGGAAUUCCAUGAUGCAAGGUAGCUUUCUGCCUCCUUGGUUGUUGUAUCGUGUGUCCGGCAAUCGUACAGCCGGACGGGGUAUCUAGAGAGUAAAGUCCUAAAAGAGAGAAAAAAUAAUAAGGCGGGAAGCCCCUAGUGCGGUUGAGCUGCGUUUUGGGACAUGUCGUAGUCGUGCCCCCCCAUCUAUGCCCAUGGUAUUUUCAAUGCGUAAUUAUGUACGCGUGGCACGGAUUUCGCCGUUUGGCUGGGACUGGGGUGGGGGGCGCAUUGCUAUGCGACCUCGGAACGUGCCAGACGGUCUUGUUGUCGAUUACUCCGGGCGCGCUUGAAGGUGUUCGGGUCUUUAAUCGCCGAACUAGUGGUUUUCCUUAAGAGGCUGCUUUGCGCUUCUGCUGCGAGGGCCGCAGUGUGCUCCUCCGUGCGGAGAGAGCGCCCUGUGUUUCCAUUUACUGUGAUAACCCCCCGAGGUCCUGGCAUCAUGAGCUUGAGAUAUGCAUAGUGCGGUACCGCGUUGAAUCUCGCAAAUGCGGUUCGCCCGAGCAAUGCAUGAUAGCCACUAUGGAACGGGACUAUAUCUAAGAUUAACUCCUCGCUCCGGAAGUUAUUCGGGGAUCCGAAGACCACUUCCAGCGUGACUGAGCCUAUGCAAUGGGCCUCUACACCUGGUAUGAUGCCUUUCAAGGUGGUUUUUGUGGGUUUGAUCCUUCAAGGGUCUAUACCCAUUUUGCGCAUUGUGUCUUGAUAAAGCAGGUUCAGGUUGCUGCCACCGUCCAUAAGGACUCGAGUGAGGUGAAAUCCGUCGAUGAUUGGGUCUAGGACCAGUGCGGCGAAUCCGCCAUGACGGAUACUAGUGGGAUGGUCCCUACGAUCGAAGGUGAUCGGACAGGAGGACCAUGGGUUGAACUUUGGGGCGACUGACUCCAACGCAUACACAUCCCUUAACGCACGCUUCCGCUCCCUCUUGGGGAUGUGGGUUGCGUAUAUCAUGUUCACCGCCCGCACUUGUGGGGGGGCCUCUUCUGUCCUCCGGUGUUCGGCUGUUGGGGCACCUCCUUGUCAUCGCUAUGUGCCCCUUAUCUUUGUUUUCGGCAUUUAACUUGCCGGCCUGCUUGAACACCCAACAUUUCCUGUUGGUGUGGUUGGCUGGCUUGUUGGGGGUGCCAUGUAUUUGGCACGACCGAUUGAGUAUUCGGUCCAAACUGGACAGGCCCGGAGUGCUUCUUUUGAAUGGCUUUUUCCGCUGACCGGGUUUAGAGCCUCUGAAUCCUGCAUUGACGAUCGUAUCCUCGGUAUUGUCAUUGUUGAUGUGGCGCUUGUGUUUGUUGUGACGUGACCUGCCAUUGCCAUCCUUGGUAUCCAAAGUGACAUGGUUCUUUGAUAUAUUAUUGCUGCGAGCCAGCCAGCUGUCUUCUCCCACGCAAAAGCGGGUCAUGAGUGUCGUGAGGGCUGCCAUAGAUUUCGGCUUUUCCUGGCCAAGGUGCCGGGCGAGCCACUCGUCGCGGUUGUUGUGCUUAAAAGCUGCUAGGGCCUCUGCAUCCGGAGAGUCAACGAUUUGAUUUUUCUUUGUCAGGAACCGUGUCUAGAAUUGCCUGGCCGAUUCCUCUAGCUGCUGAAUUAUGUGGGUCAAGUCAUCGGCAUCUGGUGGUUGCACAUAAGUGCCCUGGAAGUUGUCGAGGAAUGCGGCAUCCAGAUCUUCCCAACAGCCAAUGGAUUCUGCUGGCAGGCUGUUGAGCCAAUGUCGAUCUGGUCCUUUGAGUUUAAGUGGGAGGUAUUUGAUGGCGUGUAGAUCGUCACCACGGGCCAUGUGGAUGUGCAGGAGGAAGUCCUCGAUCCAUACCACAGGAUUUGUUGUGCCGUCAUAUGAUUCGAUAUUUACGGGUUUGAAACCCUCUGGGAUUUGGUGAUCCAUUACUUCGUCUGUGAAGCAUAGGGGGUGUGCGGCGCCUCUGUACUGGGCUAUGUCGCGACGUAGCUCAAAUGAGUCUUGUCCGCUGUGUUCGGCCUGGCCGGAUUUACUUUUACUAUGUCCGGCGUGACGAUUAUCGUCCCACGUAGUGGCGCGCCCUCGUGAUCCGUAGAUCGAUCUUGCGUGUUUUUCUUUGUCCUCCAAUACGUCUCGCAGGUCUAGCGUGUUUCCCUAUGCCUUUACAAUUUUUAUUUGAGUGGCGUCGGGGUGCGGGCUAAGCUUUUGGCUGAAAUGCCUCUCUGUCGCGGCCACGAGGUGGCCGAUCAGCGGCGUCAUACGCUGGAGAUGUAGGUUUUAAUGCUUCCUCCUCUAGUCGGGGUAGCAACCUGCGCUUUGGGUAACUCUUGGAGGGGCGUUUGAGUUCAUAUUCCUCGGCCCCGAGGACUUCAGUCCAUCUAUCAGCUAGCAAAUCUUGAUCGGCUUAAAGUUGUUGUUGCUUUUUCUUAAGGCUAUUGCCGUGGCUAUAAGCCGGCGCUUGAAGCACUCUUGCUCGAUGGGAUCCUCAGGCACGACAAAUUUGUCAUCGUCGAGGCUUGCCUCAUCUUCGGAGGGAGGCAUGUAAUUAUCAUCCUCCGCCUCUCCAUCUGCCGCUCUCUCGGGAGGGCUGGCUUCUCCAUCCUCCUGCUCUAAAUCUUGCUGGAGGGGAUUGUUGUCGUCUUCGGCACUGUCCGGAGUGCUAUUAUCUCCUGUGGCGGUGUCACCGCUUUUGCUUUGGCGAGACUUAGAGCGGCGUCGCUGACGUCAGCGCUUGGGUUGCUUCUUGGAGGGGUCAUCCUCCGCUGUCUCGUCAACAUUGCCUUCUUUGGGUUUGUCCACUAUGUAUAUAUCAUAUGAUGAGGUGGUUGUACAGUGCCCUGUGGGCAGUGGUUCCUCUUCGUCUCCCGCAUUGUCGUCCAUACCGUCGAUGUCUUCGGAGUUGAAGUCGAGCAUGUCGGUCAAAUUGUCGACAGUGGCUACUAAGUGGGUGGUGGGUGGGCGGCGAAUAUCUUCGUCGUCCGCAUCCCAAUCCUGUCGAACAUAGUUCGGCCAGGACUCUCCUGAUAAGGAGAGAGACCUUAAUGAGUUCAGUAUGUCGCCGAAGGGUGAGUGCUGAAAGAUAUCCGCGGAGGUGAACUCAUGAUCGGCGCCCAGUCGGAUUCGAUAAGCACGGGCGCAGGCGGUGCGGAGUCCGUGGCCGGGGAAGAAUCCGGCAGUUCGGCGUCAGGGCUCCCGUGAAGGGUAAGGUCGAUACUUGGCUCGAUCGCCGCUGAGAAUACGGCCUCCGUGGCGGGGUCUAUCCACCCGUCCAUGGAUGGCGCAAUUGGCUCCGAAUUGAGGGUCAGAGCGGUUGCCGGUGCGGUCUUCUGAACACUGUCCGAUGGUAGAGCGAAAUCAUGAUCAUCGUGACCGUGCGGCGCACUCGGCAGGGGCUCGAAUCCGUCGAAGAUCAAGUCUCCGUGGAUGUCGGCAGUGUAGUUUAAGCUUCCAAACCUGACCUGAUGGCCAGGGGCGUAAUUCUCGAUCUGCUCCAGAUGGCCAAGUGAGUUGGCCCGCAGUGCGAAGCCGCCGAAUACAAAGAUCUGUCCGGGGAUAAAAGUCUCACCCUGGACUUCAUCGCUAUCGAUGAUCGAAGGAGCCAUCAAGCCUAACGGUGACGACACAAAGGAACUCUCAAUGAAAGCACCAAUGUCAGUGUCAAAACCGGCGGAUCUCGGGUAGGGGGUCCCGAACUGUGCGUCUAAGGAGGAUGGUAACAGGAGGCAGGGGACAUGAUGUUUUACCCAGGUUCGGGCCCUCUUGAUGGAGGUAAAACCCUACGUCCUGCUUGAUUAUUCCUGAUAAUAUGAGUAGUACAAGAGUUGAUCUACCACGAGAUCAGAAAGGCUAAACCCUAGAAGCUAGCCUAUGGUAUGAUUAUAUGUUGUCCUACAGACUGAAACCCUCCGGUUUAUAUAGACACCGGAGGAGGCUAGUGAGGGAGUCCUGGAUUAGGGGGUAUCCGGACAGCCGGACUAUAUCCUUUGGCCGGACUGUUGGACUAUGAAGAUACAAGAUUGAAGACUUUGUCUCGUGUCCGGAUGGGACUCUGCUUGGCGUGGAAGGCAAGCUAGGCAAUACAGAUAUGUAUAUCUCCUCCUUUGUAACCGACCUUGUAUAACCCUAGCCCCUCUGGUGUAUAUAUAAACUGGAGGAUUUUAGUCUGUAGGACAACAUACAAUCAUACUAUAGGCUAGCUUCUAGGGUUUAGCCUCUCUGAUCUUGUGGUAGAUCUACUCUUGUACUACCCAUAUCAUCAAUAUUAAUCAAGCAGGACGUAGCGUUUUACCUCCAUCAAGAGGGCCCGAACCUGGGUAAAACUUUGUGUCCCCUGCCUCAUGUUACCAUCUGCCUAGACGCACAGUUCGGGACCCCCUACCCGAGAUCCGCCGGUUUUGACACCGACAUUGGUGCUUUCAUUGAGAGUUCCUCUGUGUCCUCGCCAGAAGGAAGGAUGUCUCGUCUCGUCUUUAAAGACAGUACUACUGUCGAGGGAGAUUUGGCUGUCGGCCAAACUCUCCGGUUAGGCGGUUUCAUCAUGACCGCCUGUUCGGCCGCCGCGCCGACGAUGACUGCUCGGGUCAUCGAAAACAGCCUUCACGUCAAAUCGGCACUCGCCGAACAGAUGGAUCCAAUGGAGCUCACCUCCUUAAACGAGCUCUUGGAUCGCAUCACCGCCUUGGGAGUCGCUACAGACUAUGAUCGGAUUGGCUUAAACCCGAUCGAAGGGAGAUUAACUCUCCACUGGUCACCCAUCAUAUUGCAGUGGUGGAGGAACAAGGCGGUGACCUUUCCUCUAUCUUGAGGACCAACUAUGUCCGGAUUCUCGAGCUCUCCGAGCCGGACGCCCGUUCGCGGGAGGACAAUAUCCAAUCCCUGAACUUAGAGUCAGGCAGCGGGCUAGGAUUAUCGGGUAGCACCCCGGAACCGGAACUUCCAAAAUUGGAAAAUCCUCGGCCCCUGGAUCCCAGAUCAGGUAAGGGUUCGGAUUCAAUUCCACCCACCCACCCAAACAUAAGCGAUCUUUCCCACAUCAGGCAAGAGCCCCAGGAAACAAUACAUCACUAUUGGGCCAGAUUCCUCCUUGCGAUGAACAAGGUUAAGGACUGUCGCGAGGAAGACACAAUCCUAUUUUUCUGCAAUAAUUGCACGGACAAGGAAAUCCUUAACGCCAUAAAUAACCGUGAGAUAACACGCUUCGCCGACUUGGCAUCCAUAGUACGAAAGUACUGUGCGAUGGAAAGUGCCUGGAAAACCGAAACAAACUUUUGGGAUAAUCCGGCCCUGAAUACAAACCCAGUCCGAAAUAAAAGGGCGCAUUAUCACAAUACACCCGGGUCAACUACCAAAAAGUAAAAACCCUCUAUAGUGCAUAGAACCGUACUGGAGGGACGGCUCAGCGGACCCUACAAAAUUCAUAGUACAGCGGAUACAAUACCAACGCACAGCCUUAGAGCAUGUUGGAUACUCCGGCAGGUGGCCAAAAGUGGUGAGGAUCUUCUCCUCCCAAAUGCCACAGAGCACCAUGCCGUGAAUAACAAUACGGUGUUAACGGUCUUCGAGACCUUCGCGUCAAAUAAUAGGCGCAAGCGAACACUCCGCAGCAUGGCCGAAAUCUGCUACGUCGCAGCAAUAAAUCCAUGGAGUGACACGGCUAUUACCUUCAAUGCCAGUGACGAACCUAAAUUCCGAACAGCCCGAGCACCAGAUGCACUGGUCCUCCGUCCAAUUGUGGACGGCUUUCGACUCACCAAAGUACUCAUGGACGGCGGCAGCGGAUUAAACCUCAUCUAUGAGGAAACUCUUCAAAAGAUGGAAAUAGACUAGAACCGCAUUGAGCAAAGUAGCAUAACCUUUAUAGGAAUCAUCCCCAGUCGGGAAGCAUGCUGUGCUGGGAAAAUCACACUAGAUGUGGUAUUCGGCACGCCGGAUAAUUACAGGUCCGAAGAAAUUACAUUCCAAUUGGCCCCGUUUAGCAGUGGUUAUCACGCUCUUUUAGGACGGGAGGCGUUCACAAUCUUCCAAGCCGCACCCCAUUACGGGUACAUGAAGCUCAAAAUGCCUAGGACCAAUGGAAUCAUCACUCUCGCUAGCGAUCCGGACACAGGACUCCGCGCCGAAAACAAAACAGCCACAUUAGCCCUCGAGGCAUUAUCCGAAGCCCUCUCGGCCAAGGAAUUAACCACGCUACUCUCCACAGUGGACAGGGAUGACGUGAUACUCGACAAGAGAUCCAAGUCCACCUCUUUUAAACCAACGGAUGAAAUAGUCAAAUUCCAAGUCCACCCAACGGACCCUACAAAAAUAGCCUCCAUCGGGGCACAGUUAAACCCCGCUGUGGACGCCGCACUACGAAAGUUCCUGCGCGAGAACUGGGACAUAUUCGCUUGGCAUCCCUCAGACAUGCCAGGAAUCCCACGCAAGCUGGCCGAGCAUAGCCUCAAUAUCCUAAAAGGAUUCAAGCCGGUCAAGCAAGCUCUUCGGCAUUUCUCCGAACCUAAGAGACAGGCCAUGGGAGAGGAACUAGCCAAGUUAUUGGAGGCUGGAUUCAUCAGAGAAAUAAAACACCCGGACUGGCUAGCAAACCUGGUGAUGGUACCAAAGAAGGACAAAUCCUGGCGCCUUUGUGUCGAUUUCAAAGACCUCAAUAAGGCUUGCCCAAACGAUCCCUUCCCCCUUCCACGCAUCGAUCAAAUCAUUGAUGCUACUGCAGGACACGAGUCAUUGAGUUUCCUCGACGCAUACUCCGGCUACCACCAAAUCAAGAUGGCGGAGUCCGACCAAGCCGCAACGGCAUUUAUCACACCAUACGGUCCCUUCUAUUUUAACACAAUGCCUUUUGGGCUCAAGAACGCCGGCGCAACAUAUCAGCGCAUGAUUCAGACAUGUCUGGAGAAACAAAUCGGCAAAAUAGUAGAGGCAUACGUAGACGAUGUGGUCGUCAAAACCAAACACGUCGACUCUUUGAUAGACGACUUGAGGCUCACAUUCGACAACCUUCAAACAUACGACAUCAAGCUCAAUCCGGAAAAAUGCGUUUUCGGCGUACCAGCCGGAAAGCUCCUGGGUUUCAUUGUCUCCAGUAGAGGUAUUGAAGCUAAUACGGCCAAAAUCCGAGCUUUGUCACAGUUGGCUACCCCAACAGACCUCAAACAAAUCCAGAAGUUAACUGGAUGUGUGGCGGCUCUAAGCCACUUUAUCUCCCGCUUAGGAGAAAAGGCUUUACCCCUUUAUCGCCUCCUUCGGUGCACCGAACACUUCGAGUGGACGGACGCGGCCACAGCCAGAUUGGAAGAAAUAAAGGCCAUUUUGGCAACCAACCCAAUCCUGGCCGCGCCAAACAUCGGCGAACCAAUGCUGUUGUACAUUACAGCAACUCAUCAAGUUGUAAGCGCGGUGCUCGUUGUCAAAUGGGAAGCGGACAGACAUAAAUUCCCUCUUCAAAAGCCGGUAUACUAUGUACCACUAUCCUCACUCCAUGCAAAUCACGGUACCCACAUUAUCAAAAGAUAGCCUAUGCGGUAUUCAUGGUGUCCCGGAAGCUACGACACUACGUUCAAGAGUGUUCGAUUACAGUAGCCUCGGAAGUGCCACUUAAUGAUAUUAUAAACAACCGCGACGCUACGGGCCGGAUUGCCAAAUGGGCCAUUGAGCUCCUCCCGUUCGACAUAACAUACAAACCUCGACGAGCCAUUAAGUCGCAAGUAUUGGCCAACUUCGUCGCCGAAUGGACGGAGGCCGAACUCCCUAAAGAGUACGGCGCAUACUCCAACUGGAUCAUGCACUUCGACGGUUCUAAAAUGCUAGCCGGUCUAGGGGAGAUACUGUUCAGUACAUACUGCAAAUAUUUUAUACAGACUCCAGCAAUGCAGCCGAAUACGAAGCUCUGUUGCAUGGUCUUCGGAUGACAUUCUCCAUGGGCAUUCAACGCCUGGAGGUGCGUGGGGAUUCAAACCUCGCAAUAUCCCAAAUAAAUGGAGACUUUGACGCCAAGGAUCCGAAAAUGGCGGCCUAUCAAAACACCAUCCUAAAAAUGUCAGCUCGGUUCGAGGGGCUCGAAUUUCACCAUGUGGCUUGGGAAAACAAUCAGACGGCGGAUAUCCUCGCCCGCAUCAGCGCAAAACGUGAUGCGGUCCCCCCAACAUAUUUCUGGAAAGGCUAUUCAAGCCAUCCGUAGUAUGGGAAAGGGGACACCGGUAACAAUAGUCCGGACCCGGCCAAAAUGCCCGAUACCGAAUACUCUGACACAAUCGGAGGCUCUGCCACCGAAAUAACACCUUCAGCCCACGUAUUAAUGGCCAUUAUUGCCCCGUGGACAGAACCAUUCCUGGCCUAUCUAACUAGACAGGAACUUCCACAGGACCAAAAUGAGGCACGCUGCAUAGUGCGGCGAUCCAAGGCCUACAGGGUCCAUGAGGGAGAAUUGUACAAAAAAAGCACUACCGUAGUCCUUCAAAGGUGCAUCUCCGAAGAGGAAGGGCGGAAUCUUUUGGCAGAAAUUCACACCGGACUCGGCAGAAAUCACGCCGCAGCCUGGGCCCUUGUAAGAAAGGCCUUCCUUACAGGAUUCUAUUGGCCAACGGCCCGGGCAGACGCACAAGACUUGGUCCAACGUUGCGUCGGCUACCAGCUCUUCGCAAAUCAAAGCCACAUGCCACCCACCGCCCUCCAAACAAUCUCCAUUACAUGGCCCUUUGCGGUCUGGGGGCUUGACAUGGUUGGACCCCUUAAAGGGGGAACCCACAAGAAAAAAAUACUUAUUAGUCAUGGUGGAUAAAUUCACCAAAUGGAUAGAGGCCAAACAUGUUAAAACGGCCGAAUCCGGACCGGUGAUAGACUUCAUAUCCGGGGUUGUACACCGUUAUGGCGUCCCCCACAGCAUCAUCAAUGACAAUGGCACGAACUUCACGGCCGACGAGGUAAAACUCUGGUGCAGCAAAAUGGGCAUCAAGCUCGAUUAUGCUUCAGUCUAUCACCCACAAACCAACGGUCAAGUCGAGCGAGCAAACGGUCUUAUAAUGAGCGGCAUUAAACCCAGAUUAGUGUGUUCCUUAACGGAGUCUAACACGCACUGGGUAGAGGAGCUCGACUCCGUACUUUGGGGGCUGCGGACCACGCUGAAUCGUAGUACCGGAUAUACACCCUUCUUUAUGGUGUACGGCGCAGAGGCAGUCUUGCCCUUUGACAUAAUUCAUGACUCACCUCGAGUGGGCAUAUACGAAGAAAGAGAAGCUGAGCUCGAUCGGCAGGACAGUCUGGACACCCUGGAGGAGGAGCGCGACGUAGCCAAGGCCCAUUCCGCAUUUUAUCAGCAACAGGCUCGCAGAUACCAAAGCAGAGAAGUACGGGCCAAAACUUAUAACGUUGACGAACUAGUUCUACGCCUGCCGGAUAAGAAAAAGAACAAGCUCGAGCCCAAAUGGGAAGGUCCCUUCAUUAUUGACCAAGUUCUGACCGGUGGAGCGUACCGACUGCGGGAUGUAUCGACUAGUCGACUCGAGCCGAACCCUUGGAACGCGACCAGGCUUCGAAGGUUCUACGCCUAUCACCGGACUCUAUGUUAGUCCCCUCCCUCUGUCCAUUUUUUGCAUAUACAUUAUCUAUCUUGUUUUUCUUUUUUUAUUUCUUUUAUUAUUUCUUUUAUUAUUUCUUUAGGCCUUCAAGGGUCACCGUGUGCCUCGCUUGCACAUUACAGAUGCACUAGCUGCAUUCUUCAUACCUGGGGGCUUCUUUCACAGAAGCUUAAAUUAUUUAUCUGGGCCUCAUGCCCAACACAUGUGUUAUACUUCCGCAUGUACCUUUUUUCACCAUUAUAUGCAUCGAUAUGACUUAAGUUUUGGCCAAGCUGGGUUGCCUGGCUCUUGUAUUUAUGCCUUACGUUCCCGUUAAUUCGGCUAGGGCAUAAGGGGAGCACCUCUGCGAUUGUUACUGCCGGGUCAGCCGGAUAUGUACCUCGGACUGGGUGAAGCCGAAAGCUAACGUUCUUAGGGGAAUAUUCGGUCGGUGAACAAAAGAUGAUUUUUAUUUAUAUUCCAUAUCUGCCCCCAGAUGUUUUUCCCACGUUUCCUAUCACAGUCUGGACAUGCAUUUUAGGGCAUGCUUACCCAGGGAAAGGAACCCUUAACGGAACUAUUCUCCCUGGAAGAUGUUUCUUACUACCCAUGUAAUAUAACAUAACUAGUUGGGCACUUGUCUGAUAAAGCACUAAUGACCCCUACGCCUGGUCUCCACGCAUACCCCAGUUCUUAUAUAACUGAGCGGGUAUUCGGAUACACUCCGGACUAUUGGGCCCGGAGGUUGAAGCGAAAAGGUCCGCAACGACAAAUGAUCUACAAUCCGGCUAGAAGGCAUUAUACAUGUCACUUUAAUUACAUAGUCAUGCAGACUGACUAAAUUCCUCUUCUAUACCAUCCAACAUGCGUUCUAGCUUACAAUCCUGUUGGGAAUACUUUGCGGCUAAUUCUACUUGCCCAUAAACUAAGCUAACAGGGAUCUCUUUUCCGUCGGGCCCCACAGGUCCGACCUCGGCCAUGUGAUUUGGGUCUGCCUUGGUAUACCGCGUCUUCACCACGGCCCAGGCUUCUCUGGCACCCUGUCGACAGGCUGAUAUCUUCCAUAAUCGGAAGCGCCGCUGUGCUCCCUUGAGCUUCUCCGCAAGCUCGGCAACGCCCUCUGGCAGGGAGACGGAUGGCCACAAGGCUUGGGCAACACCCUGCAUCACCUGCCGAACUUGUUCAUGCAGAUGUGAUAGCUCGGACAUAAGAUCACCCGCAGACCCGGGCAUCUCCUCCGUGGGACGACCCGUCAGCAUACCUACAGACAUAACGAUGUUAGUCGGCUUGCCGAACUCCUUUAAAAGGAUUUGUUCAAGCACUUACUGAAAAUGCUGCGCCGAAGCCGCUUAUUCUCCUUCUCGGAGUCUGCAAGCUGGCCCCGAACACCUUUUAGUUCCACGCUCAGCUUAAUAUUGGCAUCUUGGAGAUUGUUUUUCUCCCGCCUAACCUCAGUCAGCACGCGUUUGCCAGCCUCUAGCCGUCGCAUAACAUGUUGGUCCUCCGGAUUCUCUCCAGAUUCAUCUGCAACAUUUGUUGUUAGAUCUGCAACCAUGCCGCAUGUUAUAUGGUAAUCAUCAUUCUUUAAAGUAAAUGUUACCAGCAGGCGACUUUCUCGGUUCCUGCAAUGCGGCCACAACAGCCCGCAGUUGGGUCUUGCAUUCCUCCAGCUCCUGUGACAGUCUAGUAUUCUUCUCUGUAAGAACCUGCACAAUAAAGAUGAUGAGGGAAAUAUGCCCUAGAGGCAAAACUAAAGUUAUUAUUUAUUUCCUUAUAUCAUGAUAAAGGUUUAUUAUUCAUGCUAGAAUUGUAUUAACCGGAAACAUAAUACAUGUGUGAAUACAUAGACAAACAGAGUGUCACUAGUAUGCCUCUACUUGACUAGCUCGUUAAUCAAAGAUGGUUAUGUUUCCUAACCAUGGACAAAGAGUUGUCAUUUGAUUAACGGGAUCACAUCAUUAGUUGAAUGAUCUGAUUGACAUGACCCAUUCCAUUAGCUUAGCACCCGAUCGUUUAGUAUGUUGCUAUUGCUUUCUUCAUGACUUAUACAUGUUCCUAUGACUAUGAGAUUAUGUAACUCCCGUGUGCUGGAGGAACACUUUGUGUGAUACCAAACGUCACAACGUAACUGGGUGAUUAUAAAGGUGCUCUACAGGUGUCUCCAAAGGUACAUGUUGGGUUGACGUAUUUUGAGAUUAGGAUUUGUCACUCCGAUUGUCGGAGAGGUAUCUCUGGGCCCUCUCGGUAAUGCACAUCACUUAAGCCUUGCAAGCAAUGCAACUAAUGAGUUAGUUGCGAGAUGAUGUAUUACGGAACGAGUAAAGAGACUUGCCGGUAACGAGAUUGAACUAGGUAUUGGAUACCGAUGAUCGAAUCUCGGGCAAGUAACAUACCGAUGACAAAGGGAACAACGUAUGUUGUUAUGCGGUCUGACCGAUAAAGAUCUUCGUAGAAUAUGUAGGAGCCAAUAUGGGCAUCCAGGUCCCGCUAUUGGUUAUUGACCGGAGACGUGUCUCGGUCAUGUCUACAUUGUUCUCGAACCCGUAGGGUCCGCACGCUUAAGGUUUCAAUGACAGUUAUAUUAUGAGUUUAUACGUUUUGAUUACCGAAGGUUGUUCGGAGUCCCGGAUGUGAUCACGGACAUGACGAGGAGUCUCGAAAUGGUCGAGACAUAAAGAUUGAUAUAUUAGAAGCCUAUGUUUGGAUAUCGGAAGUGUUCCGGGUGAAAUCGGGAUUUUACCGGAGUACCGGGAGGUUACCGGAACCCCCCGGGAGCUAUAUGGGCCUUAGUGGGCCUUAGUGGAAAAGAGAAGGGGCAGCCCAAGAUGGGCCGCGCGCCCCUCCCCUCCCUUGGUCCGAAUAGGACAAGGAGAGGGGGCCGGCCCCCCUCUCUCUUUUCCCCCCUCCGNNNNNNNNNNNNNNNNNNNNNNNNNNNNNNNNNNNNNNNNNNNNNNNNNNNNNNNNNNNNNNNNNNNNNNNNNNNNNNNNNNNNNNNNNNNNNNNNNNNNNNNNNNNNNNNNNNNNNNNNNNNNNNNNNNNNNNNNNNNNNNNNNNNNNNNNNNNNNNNNNNNNNNNNNNNNNNNNNNNNNNNNNNNNNNNNNNNNNNNNNNNNNNNNNNNNNNNNNNNNNNNNNNNNNNNNNNNNNNNNNNNNNNNNNNNNNNNNNNNNNNNNNNNNNNNNNNNNNNNNNNNNNNNNNNNNNNNNNNNNNNNNNNNNNNNNNNNNNNAACCCCAGAGACACACAAGUUGAUCCACGUGAUCUUAUUCUUAGCCGUGUGCGGCGCCCCCUGCCACCAUAGUCCUCGAUAAUAUUGUAGCGGUGCUUAGGCGAAGCCCUGCGGCAGUAGUACAUCAAGAUCGUCACCACGCCAUCGUGCUGACGGAACUCUUCCCCGACACUUUGCUGGAUCGGAGUCCGGGGAUCGUCAUCGAGCUGAACGUGUGCUAAAACUCGGAGGUGCCGUAGUUUCGGUGCUUGAUCGGUUGGGCCGUGAAGACGUACGACUACAUCAACCAAACGCUUCCGUUGUCGAUCUACAAGGGUACGUAGAUCACACUCUCCCCUCGUUGCUAUGCAUCACCAUGAUCUUGCGUGUGCGUAGGAAAAUUUUGAAAUUGCUACAUUCCCCAACAGUGGCAUCCGAGCCAGGUUUUAUGGUUUGAUGUUAUGUGCACGAGUAGAACACAAGUGAGUUGUGGGCGAUAUAAGUCAUACUGCCUACCAGCAUGUCAUACUUUGGUUCGGCGGUAUUCUUGGAUGAAGCGGCCCAGACCGACAUUACGCGUACGCUUACGCGUGACCUGUUCUCCCGAUGUGCUUUGCAUAUAGGUGGCUUGCGGGUGACUGCUUCUCCAACUUUAGUUGAACCGAGUGUGGCUAUGCCCGGUCCUUGCGAAGGUUAAAAUGGCAUCAACUUAACAAACUAUCGUUGUGGUUUUGAUGCGUAGGUAAGAUUGGUUCUUGCUUAAGCCCGUAGCGGCCACAUAAAACUUGCAACAAACAAAGUAGAGGACGUCUAACUUGUUUUUGUAGGGCAUGUUGUGAUGUGAUAUGGUCAAGACAUGAUGCUAAAUUUUAUUGUAUGAGAUGAUCAUGUUUUGUAACCGAGUUAUCGGCAACUGGCAGGAGCCAUAUAGUUGUUGCUUUAUUGUAUGCAAUGCAAUCGCACUGUAAUGCUUUACUUUAUCACUAAGCGGUAGCGAUAGUCGUGGAAGCAUAAAAUUGGCGAGACGACAACGAUGCUGCGAUGGAGAUCAAGUUGUCGCGCCGGUGACGAUGGUGAUCAUGACGGUGAUUCGGAGAUGGAGAUCACAGGCACAAGAUGAUGAUGGCCAUAUCAUAUCACUUAUAUUGAUUGCAUGAGAUGUUUAUCUUUUAUGCAUCUUAUCUUGCUUUGAUUGACGGUAGCAUUAUAAGAUGAUCUAUCACUAAAUUAUCAAGAAGUGUUCUCCCUGAGUAUGCACCGUUGCGAAAGUUCUUCGUGCUGAGACACCACGUGAUGAUCGGGUGUGAUAGGCUCUAUGUUCAAAUACAACGGGUGCAAAACAGUUGCACACGCGGAAUACUCAGGUUAUACUUGACGAGCCAAGCAUAUACAGAUAUGGCCUCGGAACACGGAGACCAAAAGGUCGACCGUGAAUCAUAUAGUAGAUAUGAUCAACAUAGUGAUGUUCACCAAUGAAACUACUCCAUCUCACGUGAUGAUCGGACAUGGUUUAGUUGAUUUGGAUCACGUGAUCACUUAGAGGAUUAGAGGGAUGUCUAUCUAAGUGGGAGUUCUUUAAGUAAUUUGACUAAUUGAACUUAAAUUUAUCAUGAACUUAGUACCUGAUAGUAUCUUGCUCAUGUAUGUUUGAUUGUAGAUAGAUGGCCCGUGCUGUUGUUCCGUUGAAUUUUAAUGUGUUCCUUGAGAAAGCAAAGUUGAAAGAUGAUGGUAGCAAUUACACGGACUGGGUCCAUAACUUGAGGAUUAUCCUCAUUGCUGCACAGAAGAAUUACGUCCUGGAAGCACCGCUGGGUGCCAGGCCUGCUGCAGGAGCAACACCAGAUGUUAUGAACGUCUGGCAGAGCAAAGCUGAUGACUACUCGAUAGUUCAGUGUGCCAUGCUUUACGGCUUAGAAUCGGGACUUCAACGACGUUUUGAACGUCAUGGAGCAUAUGAGAUGUUCCAGGAAGUUAAUAUUUCAAGCAAAUGCCCGGAUUGAGAGAUAUGAAGUCCCCAAUAAGUUCUAUAGCUGCAAGAUGGAGGAGAACAGUCCUGUCAGUGAGCAUAUACUCAAAAUGUCUGGGUAUAAUAAUCACUUGAUUCAGAUGGGAGUUAAUCUUCCAGAUGAUUGCGUCAUUGACAGAAUCCUCCAAUCACUGCCACCAAGCUACAAGAGCUUCAUGAUGAACUAUAAUAUGCAAGGGAUGAACAAGAGUAUUCCCGAGCUCUUCGCAAUGCUGAAAGCUGCGGAGGUAGAAAUCAAAAAGGAGCAUCAAGUGUUGAUGGUCAACAAGACCACUAGUUUCAAGAAAAAGGGCAAAGGGAAGAAGAAGGGGAACUUUAAGAAGAACAGCAAGCAAGUUGCUGCUCAAGAGAAGAAACCCAAGUCUGGACCUAAGCCUGAAACUGAGUGCUUCUACUGCAAGCAGACUGGUCACUGGAAGCGGAACUGCCCCAAGUAUUUGGCGGAUAAGAAGGAUGGCAAGGUGAACAAAGGUAUAUGUGAUAUACAUGUUAUUGAUGUGUACCUUACUAAUGCUCGCAGUAGCACCUGGGUAUUUGAUGCUGGUUCUGUUGCUAAUAUUUGCAACUCAAAACAGGGACUACGGAUUAAGCGAAGAUUGGCUAAGGACGAGGUGACGAUGCGCGUGGGAAAUGGUUCCAAAGUCGAUGUGAUCGCGGUCGGCACGUACCUCUACAUCUACCUUCGGGAUUAGUAUUAGACCUAAAUAAUUGUUAUUUGGUGCUAGCGUUGAGCAUGAACAUUAUAUCUGGAUCUUGUUUGAUGCGAGACGGUUAUUCAUUUAAAUCAGAGAAUAAUGGUUGUUCUAUUUAUAUGAGUAAUAUCUUUUAUGGUCAUGCAGCCUUGAAGAGUGGUCUAUUUUUAUUGAAUCUCGAUAGUAGUGACACACAUAUUCAUAAUGUUGAAGCCAAAAGAUGCAGAGUUGAUAAUGAUGGUGCAACUUAUUUGUGGCACUGCCGUUUAGGUCAUAUCGGUGUAAAGCGCAUGAAGAAACUCCAUACUGAUGGACUUUUGGAACCACUUGAUUAUGAAUCACUUGGUACUUGCGAACCGUGCCUCAUGGGCAAGAUGACUAAAACACCGUUCUCCGGUACUAUGGAGAGAGCAACAGAUUUUUUGGAAAUCAUACAUACAGAUGUAUGUGGUCCAAUGAAUAUUGAGGCUCGUGGAAGAUAUCGUUAUUUUCUCACCUUCACAGAUGACUUAAGAAGAUAUGGGUAUAUCUACUUAAUGAAACAUAAGUCUGAAACAUUUGAAAAGUUCAAAGAAUUUCAGAGUGAAGUUGAAAAUCAUCGUAACAAGAAAAUAAAGUUUCUACGAUCUGAUCGUGGAGGAGAAUAUUUGAGUUACAAGUUUGGUGUACAAUUGAAACAAUGCGGAAUAGUUUCGCAACUCACGCCACCCGGAACACCACAGCGUAAUGGUGUGUCCGAAUGUCGUAAUCGUACUUUACUAGAUAUGGUGCGAUCUAUGAUGUCUCUUACUGAUUUACCGCUAUCAUUUUGGGGUUAUGCUUUAGAGACGGCCGCAUUCACGUUAAAUAGAGCACCAUCAAAAUCCGUUGAGACGACGCCUUAUGAACUAUGGUUUGGCAAGAAACCAAAGUUGUCGUUUCUGAAAGUUUGGGGCUGCGAUGCUUAUGUGAAAAAGCUUCAACCUGAUAAGCUCGAACCCAAAUCGGAGAAAUGUGUCUUCAUAGGAUAUCCAAAGGAAACUAUUGGAUACACCUUCUAUCACAGAUCCGAAGGCAAGACUUUUGUUGCUAAAUUCGGAAACUUUCUGGAAAAGGAGUUUCUCUCGAAAGAUGUGAGUGGGAGGAAAGUAGAACUUGAUGAGGUAACUGUACCUACUCCCUUAUUGGAAAGUAGUACAUCACAGAAAACUGUUUCUGCGACACCUACCCCAAUUAGUGAGGAAGCUAAUGAUACUAAUCAUGAAACUUCAGGACAAGAUACUACUGAACCUCGUAGAUCAACCAGAGUGACAUCCGCGCCAGAGUGGUACGGUAAUCCUGUUCUGGAAAUCAUGCUGCUAGAUCAUGAUGAACCUAUGAACUAUGAAGAAGCGAUGGUGAGCCCAGAUUCCGUAAAAUGGCUUGAAGCCAUGAAAUCUGAGAUGGGAUCCAUGUAUGAGAACAAAGUAUGGACUUUGGUUGACUUGCCCGAUGAUCGGCAAACAAUUGAGAAUAAAUGGAUCUUCAAGAAGAAGACUGACGCUGACGGUAAUAUUACUGUCUACAAAGCUCGACUUGUCGCAAAACGUUUUCGACAAGUUCAAGGAGUUGACUACGAUGAGACCUUCUCACCCAUAGCAAUGCUUAAGUCUGUCCGAAUCAUGUUAGCAAUUGCCGCAUUUUAUGAUUAUGAAAUUUGGCAGAUGGAUGUCAAAAUUGCAUUCCUGAAUGGAUUUCUGGAAGAAGAGUUGUAUGUGAUGCAACUGGAAGGUUUUUUCAAUCCAAAGGGCGCUAAUAAAGUGUGCAAGCUCCAGCGAUCCAUUUAUGGACUGGUGCAAGCCUCUCGGAGUUGGAAUAAACGCUUUGAUAGUGUGAUCAAAGCAUUUGGUUUUAUACAGACUUUCGGAGAAGCCUGUAUUUACAAGAAAGUGAGUGGGAGCUCUGUAGCAUUUCUGAUAUUAUAUGUGGAUGACAUAUUACUGAUUGGAAAUAAUAUAGAAUUUCUGGACAGCAUAAAGGGAUACUUGAAUAAGAGUUUUUCAAUGAAAGACCUCAGUGAAGCUGCUUACAUAUUAGGCAUAAAGAUCUAUAGAGAUAGAUCAAGAUGCUUAAUUGGACUUUCACAAAGCACAUACCUUGACAAGAUUUUGAAGAAGCUCAAAAUGGAUCAAGCAAAGAAAGGGUUCUUGCCUGUGUUACAAGGUGUAAAGUUGAGUCAGACUCAAUGCCCGACCACUGCAGAAGAUAGAGAGAAAAUGAAAGAUGUUCCCUAUGCUUCAGCCAUAGGCUCUAUCAUGUAUGCAAUGCUGUGUACCAGACCUGAUGUGUGCCUUGCUAUAAGUUUAGCAGGGAGGUACCAAAGUAAUCCAGGAGUGGAUCACUGGACAGCGGUCAAGAACAUCCUGAAAUACCUGAAAAGGACUAAGGAUAUGUUUCUCGUAUAUGGAGGUGACAAAGAGCUAAUCGUAAACGGUUACGUUGAUGCAAGCUUCGACACUGAUCCGGACGAUUCUAAAUCGCAAACCGGAUACGUGUUUACAUUAAACGGUGGAGCUGUCAGUUGGUCAGUUCUAAACAAAGCGUUGUGGCGGGAUCUACAUGUGAAGCGGAGUACAUAGCUGCUUCGGAAGCAGCAAACGAAGGAAUCUGGAUGGAGUUCAAAUCCGAUCUAGGUGUCAUACCUAGUGCAUCGGGUCCAAUGAAAAUCUUUUGUGACAAUACUGGUGCAAUUGCCUUGGCAAAGGAAUCCAGAUUUCACAAGAGGACCAAACACAUCAAGAGACGCUUCAAUUCCAUCCGGGAUCUAGUCCAGGUGGGAGAUAUAGAGAUUGCAAGAUACAUACGGAGCUGAAUGUAGCAGACCCGUUGACUAAGCCUCUUCCACGAGCAAAACAUGAUCAGCACCAAAGCUCCAUGGGUGUUACAAUCAUUACUGUGUAAUCUAGAUUAUUGACUCUAGUGCAAGUGGGAGACUGAAGGAAAUAUGCCCUAGAGGCAAUAAUAAAGUUAUUAUUUAUUUCCUUAUAUCAUGAUAAAGGUUUAUUAUUCAUGCUAGAAUUGUAUUAACCGAAAACAUAAUACAUGUGUGAAUACAUAGACAAACAGAGUGUCACUAGUAUGCCUCUACUUGACUAGCUCGUUAAUCAAAGAUGGUUAUGUUUCCUAACCAUGGACAAAGAGUUGUCAUUUGAUUAACGGGAUCACAUCAUUAGUUGAAUGAUCUGAUUGACAUGACCCAUUCCAUUAGCUUAGCACCCGAUCAUUUAGUAUGUUGCUAUUGCUUUCUUCAUGACUUAUACAUGUUCCUAUGACUAUGAGAUUAUGUAACUCCCGUGUGCCGGAGGAACACUUUGUGUGAUACCAAACGUCACAACGUAACUGGGUGAUUAUAAAGGUGCUCUACAGGUGUCUCCAAAGGUACAUGUUGGGUUGACGUAUUUUGAGAUUAGGAUUUGUCACUCCGAUUGUCGGAGAGGUAUCUCUGGGCCCUCUCGGUAAUGCACAUCACUUAAGCCUUGCAAGCAAUGCAACUAAUGAGUUAGUUGCGAGAUGAUGUAUUACGGAACGUGUAAAGAGACUUGCCAGUAACGAGAUUGAAUUAGGUAUUGGAUACCGAUGAUCGAAUCUCGGGCAAGUAACAUACCGAUGACAAAGGGAACAACGUAUGUUGUUAUGCGGUCUGACCGAUAAAGAUCUUCGUAGAAUAUGUAGGAGCCAAUAUGGGCAUCCAGGUCCCGCUAUUGGUUAUUGACCAGAGACGUGUCUCGGUCAUGUCUACAUUGUUCUCGAACCCGUAGGGUCCGCACGCUUAAGGUUUCGAUGAUAGUUAUAUUAUGAAUUUAUACGUUUUGAUGUACCGAAGGUUGUUCGGAGUCCCGGAUGUGAUCCCGGACAUGACGAGGAGUCUCGAAAUGGUCGAGACAUAAAGAUUGAUAUAUUGGAAGCCUAUGUUUGGAUAUCGGAAGUGUUCCGGGUGAAAUCGGGAUUUUGUCGGAGUACCGGGAGGUUACCGGAACCCCCCGGGAGCUAUAUGGGCCUUAGUGGGCCUUAGUGGAAAAGAGAAGGGGCAGCCCAAGAUGGGCCGCGCGCCCCUCCCCUCCCUUGGUCCGAAUAGGACAAGGAGAGGGGGCCGGCCCCCCUCUCUCUUUUCCCCCCUCCGCGAAUCCUAUUCCAACUAGGAUUGGGGNNNNNNNNNNNNNNNNNNNNNNNNNNNNNNNNNNNNNNNNNNNNNNNNNNNNNNNNNNNNNNNNNNNNNNNNNNNNNNNNNNNNNNNNNNNNNNNNNNNNNNNNNNNNNNNNNNNNNNNNNNNNNNNNNNNNNNNNNNNNNNNNNNNNNNNNNNNNNNNNNNNNNNNNNNNNNNNNNNNNNNNNNNNNNNNNNNNNNNNNNNNNNNNNNNNNNNNNNNNNNNNNNNNNNNNNNNNNNNNNNNNNNNNNNNNNNNNNNNNNNNNNNNNNNNNNNNNNNNNNNNNNNNNNNNNNNNNNNNNNNNNNNNNNNNNNNNNNNNNNNNNNNNNNNNGGAGGCAGGGGAACCCCAGAGACACACAAGUUGAUCCACGUGAUCUUAUUCUUAGCCGUGUGCGGCGCCCCCUGCCACCAUAGUCCUCGAUAAUAUUGUAGCGGUGCUUAGGUGAAGCCCCUGCGACAGUAGUACAUCAAGAUCGUCACCACGCCGUCGUGCUGACGGAACUCUUCCCCGACACUUUGCUGGAUCGGAGUCCGGGGAUCGUCAUCGAGCUGAACGUGUGCUAAAACUCGGAGGUGCCGUAGUUUCGGUGCUUGAUCGGUCGGGCCGUGAAGACGUACGACUACAUCAACCAAACGCUUCCGUUGUUGAUCUACAAGGGUACGUAGAUCACACUCUCCCCUCGUUGCUAUGCAUCACCAUGAUCUUGCGUGUGCGUAGGAAAAUUUUGAAAUUACUACGUUCCCCAACAGAUGAUCCUUAAAUCAGUUCUGCUAACUGUUUCAAAUCUCAGGGGCUACUGAUACAUAUAAAUCACCAGAUUUACUCACCCGUACAUCCUUUACAUACUGACCCGUGGCUCUGGCUAGACCAUCUUGAGCAGCAUGGAGGUACGCCUCUCCGGAAUUGAAGGCAUCAAGCGCCUCUGGUGAGAAACAAGCGUCACGGAGUACGACCCGGCGGCGCCUAUGAUUCAUGGAUCUUUCCACUUCUGAGUUUGUAGAGGAUAAUCUAUCUGCAUCCUCUGUAGGGGGAUUAUCCGGUGCCUGCCCCAUAUCGGCUUCUGCCUCCAUGUCCGGUCCUGGCGCCCGACUGGUGGAAGCGUGAUUGGCAACAUCGCCGGACAUAUUCCAGCGAGCGUUUUUUCUGUUAAAGAAACACGGGCGUCAUUACAUUUCGACAAAGACGACAACCACGGAGCGGGGUUUGUUAUACCUUUGCGCCGGCGUCUCCGUCCUGACCGCCUUCCUUUUUGGCCUACCCGACCUCGGUGCCUCCUGUUGGCGCGUUGCUGCGGGUUCGGCAGGGCGUCCCGAAUGCCUUCCCUAUAAAAACGCCAUAUGUAUAUGGUGGGUGAAGUGCAUAGAAGGGGAUCCUACUUUUGGAGUUGGGAUUUUUGGUUUUUCUUACUUGCGAUGCAGGGAGCAGUCCGGGAUAAUCGGCCAUAAUGGCCACCAUGGCAUCGUCGCAGCUUAACUGAUAGAACUGCCGGUCUAUCAGCUCCAUGAAUAUAACCGAAUCUUCUUCAAGUCCGGAGUCGAGGGCCCGGUCGGGGUCCUCUAGUUGUGGAGAAGGGCUGCUAACCUCCUUUAUGGCUUUUCGCAGUUCCUGCCGCAAAGUGGCAAGGUGAAUACUUAGAACAAAGAAUGCGGGAAAAAUGGGAGCAGGGAGAUAUAACUUACCCAGCUUGGAGGAUUGUACAUGGAGAAUCCAUCCUGUGGCUUGAUGCGGGUGAACUCCUCUUCCUCACCCUUGAAUAGUUCGGACAGAAUUUUCGCUAGAGGGGCAGCAUUGUCCGGACCCUUACGCCCGCAGCGGGUGGCGUCAUCCGCCCCGUUAUAACACCACAAGGGGUGCCCACGAUAUUGAAGUGGCUGCACUCCCCGCAUUAUGCAAAUCGACAUAACUUCGACUAUUGUCAGUCCUCAUCGAGCCAGUGCUUUAAUCCGGUUCAUCAUAUAGAGAACUUCUCCAUUGUCUUCCGCCUGGGGGCUCCGGCGGCUCCAACUUCGGCGUUUCUUCAGAGGAGCAGUGUUGAACUCAGGAAGACCCCGCCGAACAGGGUCCGGAAGGGGGACGUCCUCCAUAUAAAACCAUUCUGAAGGCCAGUCUUCGGACGACUUCUUCGGGGUACCGGACAGGUAUCCGGUAUCGGCGAUGCGCCAUAUUUUGGCUCUGCCCACUUGAUAAAGUGACCCCCUCUGUGUGCGAGGGGCGAGGCAAAAUAGCCUUUUCCACAGCUCGAAGUGAGCCUCGCAGCCCAGGAACAACUCGCAGAGAGAAACAUAGCCGGCGUGUGUAGAAGGGAGGCAGGGGUGAAAUUGUGUAAUUGGAGGCCGUAGAACUCCAGGAGCCCGCGGAGGAACGGAUGAAUUGGAAAUCCGAGUCCCCUUAGUAAAUAAGGAACAAGGCAAACCCGUUCCCCUAUAGUGGGACAGGGAAAGCUCUCCACUUGUUCCCCGCCAUUGUAGGUGGCGAGCCCAGCUCGAACGGACACCAUGCACGCCGGAGGGAGAAAUCCCUUAGUCUGCAGUUCGACUAAACGACUGUGUGGGACUGAACACCUCUCCCAAUCACCGGGCUUAGGGCUUCGGGGCGGGAGGAGGAGCUGCGGAGGUCGGCCAUACUGGAAUGGAUCUUUUCGGAACGCGCUCUGAUGGACUCUCGCUGGGGGAGGAUGGUAUGGAUCGGAUCUAAGGAUCCCCAUCCCUUUAAUAGACAAUUUAUUUAUCUGGCUAAGGGGGUGAAUGUAAAAAUGCCCUGGCGCCUCAUAUUCAUUCGAAGUGUGGGAGAAAGCCCUUAUUAGGCACAGAAGCCAAGAGGUCCAAACAUUUAUGGGACCGGACACUGCUUUACAAACGUUCGGAAGAUGGAGAAGAACCCGCCUUGCAAUGCCGAAGACAAUACUACGCGCCGGACUCAUCGUCAUUGAAGCCUGGUUCGGGGGCUACUGAGGGAGUCCUGGAUUAGGGGGUAAUCAGACAGCCGGACUAUAUCCUUUGGCCGGACUGUUGGACUAUGAAGAUACAAGAUUGAAGACUUCGUCUCGUGUCCGGAUGGGACUCUGCUUGGCGUGGAAGGCAAGCUAGGCAAUACGGAUAUGUAUAUCUCAUCCUUUGUAACCGACCUUGUGUAACCCUAGCCCCUUCGGUGUCUAUAUAAACUGGAGGGUUUUAGUCCGUAGGACAACAUACAAUCAUACCAUAGGCUAGCUUCUAGGGCUUAGCCUCUCUGAUCUCGUGGUAGAUCUACUCUUGUACUACCCAUAUCAUCAAUAUUAAUCAAGCAGGACGUAGGGUUUUACCUCCUGUUACCAUCCGCCUAGACACACAGUUCGGGACCCCCUACCCAAGAUCUACCGGUUUUGACACCGACAGCUAGGGUUAUACAAGGUCGGUUACAAAGAAGGAGAUAUCCAUAUCCGUAUUGCCUAGCUUGCCUUCCACGCCAAGUAGAGUCCCAUCCAGACACGGGACGAAGUCUUCAAUCUCGUAUCUUAAUAGUCCAAUAGUCCGGCCAAAGGAUAUAGUCCGGCUCAUUCCCCCUGCUCUGCUCUGCCCUCUUCUUCCUUCUCUCUGCCUCGCCGCCGUCUGCGUCCGCCCCCGCCGGCCGCCACACGACGAUGCCGCAGCCAUGGUUUUGGAAGACGAGAGCAGCGAUGACAACUCAAGCCUCCCGUGCAUGCACUCCGAAUCCUCCACCGAUGGGCUGAACCAGGUAAGUUACUCCAUUGGAGCUAGGGUUAGGGUUAGGUUUAGGAAAUUUGGGAAUUUUUGUGUGUAGGUGGUCUUUGUUGUGAGGAUUUCAUUUGAUUUGUUGUGUCCUCGUGUUGUGCUUUUGACUGUGUAGGUGCCUUUCUCACUUGAGGACCCGGAUUACAAGGGCCUUGAGCUAGAUCUGAUGGCGUUCUGCGAGAAGCAUGGGAAGCCAUCAAGGAGGCUUGUUGUGUUUGAAGGAACAAUGACUGGGAGAAGGUUCUUAGCAUGUGCACAGCUAGUAUUUUUCUUGCCUUGGUGAUUAGCACUGGAUGUGUUCAUUGAAAGUGGCAGAGUCUUGUUUGUCACCUGUGAUUCAGUUAUGUGCAUGCUCAAUUUGUUAGUCAUAUGUGCCCUACUGUAGUGCUCAUUGUGUGAAUGCUCAUUAUUAAGUUCAGUGGAAUGCAUUUCUACUAAAAUAUAUGCUCCUGUUGUGUGCACAUGCUAUUUAUUUACACUUCUUUCCAAAUGCAGUGUUGCUCAAUAUUAAGUUCAGUGGAGGCAGUUAGUAACUAUUGCUUACUGCUGACAGUAGGUAGUCUCAUUAGCUAGUUUGUUGCUACAGGCUAGUUUAGUGUAUUUAGCUGGGCAAAGUAGUUCGCAUUGUAUUGCUUAUUACUGUUAGGAUUCCAUUAUAUUAAUGGUCAAUUCUUAGCAAGUGUUGUUGCUUAGCACAUGGAUGCUUAGCAACUUCUGAGUUGAAUGGAGUGUUACUUUGCUACCUGGUAAAUAUAUUGAUCAUCCAUUGUAGGAUUACAUCAAUUUAUUUUACAAUGUGCUCAUGUUGCUUAGCAAAUGGUUGUGCAAAAUCAGUUUAUGUCAGUGCCAACAUUAGGUACUUCCAUGAACUAACUGUUGCUUUGUACUCUUAGUAGUUGUAUUGUACUAAAUUUUGCCCUUCUAAUUUUUCCAGGAAGGUCAGAAUUGUGGGUUUGUUCAGUGGGUUGAUGAGCAGUGGGCCCCAACAAUGGAGAAUGCAUUGCUGAAGCUUUGGUCAAUGGUUGAAGAGAGCAAGUCUGCUAGGGUGAGUGAUAAUCUUGAAAGUGCUUUAACUAUUCAUCAUUUGACAGAAGAAAAGAACAAGCUGGAUGCAGACUAUGACAAGUUAGUGAAAGAUGUGCAUCAACUUGUGGACUUUCAUCAGGAUAGGGUUGUGGAUUUCCAUUAUCUGCAGUCUGCUAUCACAUAUCAGCACCAAUGGAGAGCUGAAUUGGUGGCUGGUAUGAAUGCAGAAAUGGCAAAGAAAGAUGCAGCUAUAGAGAAGCUUCAACAGAAGUAUGAACUCCUGUGCAACCUGACAAGUGCUCACGCAACUGUCAUCCAAAACCUAAAGUUGAAGAAUAUGAAAGAGAAGGAAUUGAUGAGUGAGGCUAGGAUGAAUUUGGAGUUGAAGAAUGCAGAGUUUACAAAGUUUGAGGAGAAGCUCACCCAAGAGAAGCUAGAGUUGAAGUUCCAGGUUGCUGAUCUGCUGAAGCUCAAGGAAAACCAUAAUGAAGAGAAGCAUAUGCAAGAGUUUAAGAUUACUGAGCUCAUGAAGGCAGAGGAGAAGCUGAAGGAGAAGAUCAAGGGGAUCUAGGCCAUCCUGCAGAACUGAACAAGAUGAAUUGAGAUUAGUGGGCAUUGCAGACCUUUUGGGAAGGAUGGUUGUACAAUGACCUAGUAACUUAGAAUUAUGGUUGUGUAAUGUAUGGUUGUAGUACUAAUUGUGAACUCUGGUUGUUUAUGUACCUAGUAGUUAUGCUAUAUUCAUCCUUUUGUGAGAAAAGGAUGGAUUGUGCAUUUGAACUCCACUAUGUAAUGUGAACAAUGGUUGUGUAUUCCUAUAAUGUGUUGAACUCCAGUUAGUAUCGUUUGCUUUCAAUGUUAGACUGAAAAUGAUGACAUAUUGUUAACUGAAUUUUAAUAUUAUCAGUUAAAUUUCAAUGAACAAAAUGUGGGCCUAAUAAUGGGCUUCUUUAUUAGUUUUGAAACUAACAUUUGACUCUAAUAUUGGGCCUACCUACCACCAUAAAUCUGCUGCCUACCUACCAGCCACCAUAAAUCUACUGCCUACCUACUAGCCACCAUUUCUACUAUAUAAAGCACCCCCAAUUACCACAAACAACAGCGACAAUCCUUUGUCCUCCCCCUAGCCGCCAGAGAAAACCCUAGGAGAGAUAGAGAUGGAUCUUGGAGAGGUCGUCGAUGAAGAAGAACAGGUGCCAAGGGUAGCCAGGCGCAGAGAGGCAAGAAGGAGGGAGAGAAGGCACCUGGCUCAGCGGAUCCUUGCAGCACGCAACCGCAAGGACAUGGAGCAGUUCGUGGAGGCAUUCCCCCUUGGCUCAAACCCUAGUGAUGAUGAUGUCAUCCAUUGGGCAAGGAGGAGAGCAAAUUUUCAUCCCUUUGGGGUCACUAGGAUGAGAUGGAGUAUAAUUCUGUAUCUAGAUGAAUGAGCUGUUAUGUGAUGCAGUAUCUAGAUCCUCCUUGCUAUCUACAUGCAUUCCCCCUUGGAUCAGUUGAUGCAUGCAAUGUAAUAAAUCCUAGUUCCUCCUUCUUCUAUGCUAUGUGAUGCAGUGUAUGCAAUGUAUUCAGUAACUUAAUGAAAUAAAUCCUGGAUCUACCAUUCUAGCUUUUUAAUCUCUUUGUUCAACUGAUCCCUUUCUUCCGUCGACCCCGAGCCACCAAAACCCAAAAUGAUGGCUUUAGGUGGUUCCGUCGACCCCGAGCCACCCUAGACCAAAGUUGAUGGCUUUAGGUGGUUCCGUCGAUCCCGAGCCACUAAAACCCAAAAUGAUGGCUUUNNNNNNNNNNNNNNNNNNNNNNNNNNNNNNNNNNNNNNNNNNNNNNNNNNNNNNNNNNNNNNNNNNNNNNNNNNNNNNNNNNNNNNNNNNNNNNNNNNNNNNNNNNNNNNNNNNNNNNNNNNNNNNNNNNNNNNNNNNNNNNNNNNNNNNNNNNNNNNNNNNNNNNNNNNNNNNNNNNNNNNNNNNNNNNNNNNNNNNNNNNNNNNNNNNNNNNNNNNNNNNNNNNNNNNNNNNNNNNNNNNNNNNNNNNNNNNNNNNNNNNNNNNNNNNNNNNNNNNNNNNNNNNNNNNNNNNNNNNNNNNNNNNNNNNNNNNNNNNNNNNNNNNNNNNNNNNNNNNNNNNNNNNNNNNNNNNNNNNNNNNNNNNNNCUUUAGGUGGUUUCGUCGAUCCCGAGCCACUAAAACCCAAAAUGAUGGCUUUAGGUGGUUUCGUCGACCCCGUGCCACCCUAGACCAAAGUUGAUGGUUUAGGUGGUUCCGUCGACCCCGAGCCACCCUAGACCAAAGUUGAUGGCUUUAGGUGGUUUCGUCGACCCGGAGCCACCAAAAGUGACUACUACUCUACUCCUAGUGGUUUGUAUCCAUCACUGUCUAAGCAUAGUCUUUCAACCUAGGGUAUUGCUUCUUGUGGUCUCCUAGCACGGCAUCAAUAGCUAGGUUCUUUGCCCUAUAUGCCAUUGAGUUGGGCACAUCCACACCAUACUUCUCCAUGCAGGCAUCAAUCAAAGUCUGGAUGCCAGUUGUUAGAUCAGAUCUGAAUAGUGACUCAUACUUCUGUGCAAGCCACUUGGCACUUACCCUUGUUGUCUCUGUACUAAUAGGGCAAGUGUGCUUAAUUCUCAUCUUCCUAAAUACAAAAGUAGUUUCACCUUUUAUAACUGCUGCCACCAUAAAGAAGGUGCAAUGUUUUUGGUUGCAUUGUACAAUUAUUCUUUGAUCUGAGUUCCUAUGAUAUUUGAAGUUUCUGCCUUGAGUGAUGUGUAAGUUCAACAAAGCCUCUCUGAAUUGAUGUUGAUCCUUGAAACACAUCUUUAGACAUAAUUGCUCAUGUGGUGCCUCCAUUUUCUCAUUGUACCAUUUUCUAGGAGGCCUCUGCUUUGCCCUGCUCUUCCUUUUCUUUGGCAGAACAAGUGACAAUGGCUCAUAACCAUCAUCAUCGGCCUCCUUCAACAAUCCUUUCUCUUCUUCAUCAGAUGAAGGUUUGAAAUCAGGUUCCUCCUCUUGAACUACACUUGAAUGUGUCCUUGUUGUAGGCCCUUUCCUAACUGGAAGCUUCUGUUUCUUCUUCUUCUUCUUCUUCUUCUCUUCAUGUACAAUUACAGUUUCUUCAUCCUGUGAAACAACUUUGUCAUCUUCAUCCAUUUGAAAAGGUUCCUCAACCUCUGUGUCACCCUCAUAAUGCACCACUUCUUCCUCCUCAGAUUCAUCAUCAUCUGUUUCUUCCUCUUAUAUUUCAUCAUACUCUCUCUGUUUCUUUCCCUCAUCCAUCUCUAUGUCAUCAGCAUCACCCAUAUAAAAAGGGUUUACAUCACUGUCAUCUUCACCUUCACAAUCAGAACCACCACUGCCAUCAUAUCCCUCUUCUUCUAUUUCUAAAACAUCUUUUAGUUUUCCUUUUACAUUCUUGCUCUCUUGUGUGCAAACACCAGUACCAUGAGCUACACUGCAGCUGCUACUCUGACUUUCAAAGGCAACUCCUUCAUCAACAACAUAGAUGGGUGGCUCACUGAGAUCAUAUAACACAGGCUCUUCAUACACAACAGUGGAUAAUUCUUGCCUCUCAAACUGGCUGCAAGGAGGUGGACAUGCCCUCACUAGCAAAUUUAGAACCUUACACUCCUCAACCUGCCUCUUUACUAGUUGCAACUCAGCAUUACUCUCUACCAUCUCCAAUCCUUUCUCCCCUAAAUCUGGAUUCUCAAUAUGAAACAGCAGAUCAUAUUCACUAAAUCCUUGGGUUUCCAUCACUGCAAUCAUAUUUAGGUAUGUUACAUCUGAACUGCAGAGCUUCAGCUCAAACAUUUCUAAAGCAUCGAAAUGGAACCUAACAGCCAAAAUGUCAUCAUACAGACUGCAAAAUAAAAUAACAGACAAAAUUGGUUAAUAAACAAUUUUACUUAACAGAUAGGCUAACAUAUAAACAAACCUUUGUUUAAGUUAACAUAUAAACAAAGCUUUGUUUAAGUUAACAUAUAAACAAAGCUUUUAUUUACCCUUACAAUAUGAAUAAACUAAACAAUUGCUACAAAAUCAAACAAUAUAAACAACUAUCUCAAUGCAACCCUAAUUACAGAGUGGGUACUUAACUCACAGCAAAAUGAUGUUUUGUAUUUUCAGAUAAGUAGUUAACAGAAUUGUCCACUAAUGGUGCUCUACUCUAGUUAGGACUCAUUUAAUCCACUAUGCUUCUCUGCUCUGCUCUGCUCUAGCUAGGUAACACCUAAUGCUGCUCUGACAAUUUGGACUAAGAAAUAACAAUGUAAUCCAGUAAUGUUGCUCUGCUCUGCUCCAGUUAGGUAACACAUAAUGAUGCUCUGCUCUAGUUAGGACUCAUGUAAUCCACUAUACUUCUCUGCUCUAGUUAGGACUAGCAAUUAGAGCGCUAAACAUGCCGGCAGUAAACCCUAACACUAAUCCCCAAUUUCAGUGAGGAAGAAUGGAACAGUGGAGCACUUACAGAACACCACCGAAGCCAUGAGUCCAGUGACGGGCGGUGCUAGCGUUGGCCACCCAAAUUCGCGCCAAUCCUAGCCUCUGCUCCAUCGACAACGCCGGCUUCGCAAAAUCUUCGUCCUCGCUACUGUACUCCGAGCUGGAGUAGCCGCCACUGCCAUCGAGGCCUAAGCGCGGGAGGUCGCCGCCGCUUGCAUCGCCCGGCCAUCGCCACCUGCCGGAGUCGCCGAGGCCAUCGUCGCCAGGACACAGCAGCCGCGGGGGAGAGGAGGGCGCGAGGGAGGAGCAGCCGCGGGGGAGGUGACAGCGCCUAAGCACUUCUAUCCAUGGCUACGGCGGCGUGGUGUGGCGGGCGGCGGGGCGGGCAGGGAGGCAGCCGCUGGCGAGGGUGCGAGGAGAAGAAAGAGGGCAGAGCGGGGUCGGGGUCUGGCUCGGUCAUACAGGCGCGACCAAAACGGUGCGAGCCGGCCUCGUCCUAGUCAGCGCGCAGUCAGCACGCGGGCACGCCACACUGGCCAGCGUGGCGCCUGACGGGCGGGCCCAACCGUGAGAUUCCCUGUCAAUACGUAUAAAACACACUUUUAGUCUUUUUUGCAACAGCUCGUCCCAAUCUUGGUACUGACAUGUAAAAAUUAUCAAUCUUGGUACCAAUCUGCUUUCAAUACCCUAAUUGUGGUACUUCUGCGCAAUUUACUUCUCACGACCACAUUCGCUUGUCCCGCAUGUGUUUAGGAAGACGGCGGCCCAUGACGGUACGCCUCGUUGUAGUGAUGGUAUGGUGAAGAGAGAGCAUGCUCUCUUGUCAGUGACCAUGACUACGCCAACGGAGCAGAGCAACUCCCUCCGCAAAAGGACAACGCCUCCCUGAUGAGUUCAAAAAUUGUAUCCGAGACUCUACUUCCUUCAUUUUACUGCAUAUUUCUUCUUUACACUCAUAUUGUUAAUUAGCAUCCAUUUUAUCUAUCUAUCAUUUGACAUGCAACUCUGCUGCAUGUGUGGUUCGACAAGAAAAAGAGAGCUGAAGCUAUCCACAUCAUACGCCUUUGUCCAUUUCGGAAUUGGUAGACCAAAAUAACACAGGAGCAUCUUGUUGCCUUUUACCCCGGCUACCUAGUGAACCUAUAACAUCUAUACUAUCGCAAUGUUCCUAUGUUUUUACAGGCAUCAAAGAUCUAAUCUAAUCAUCCGCCCAGAAUAGCGCUCUCAUCGAUCUUUGUCUUUGUCAUAUGUAUCUUAACUCUGCAAAAUGUUUGUUGGAAGAGUUCAGUAAUCUUGAACUCGGAUAUGCAGCCCGUUGGGAGCUUCCACCCGGGGGAAUUUCAAGAUUGUGUUCUUGCCUUCUUCCUCCCAUCUGCAA